rnacentral:rRNA from 1 species
GCUGGCGGCGGCUUACACAUGCAAGUCGAACGCUCGUAGCAAUACGGGAGUGGCAGACGGGUGAGUAACGCGUGGGAACAUACCCUCCGGUUCGGAAUAGCUCAGGGAAACUUGGAUUAAUACCGGAUACGGCUGAGAGGCGAAAGAUUUAUCGCCGGAGGAUUGGCCCGCGUUCGAUUAGCUAGUUGGUGAGGUAACGGCUCACCAAGGCGAUGAUUGAUAGCUGGUCUGAGAGGAUAAUCAGCCACAUUGGGACUGAGACACGGCCCAAACUCCUACGGGAGGCAGCAGUGGGGAAUAUUGGACAAUGGGCGCAAGCCUGAUCCAGCCAUGCCGCGUGAGUGAUGACGGCCUUAGGGUUGUAAAGCUCUUUCGCUCGGGACGAUAAUGACGGUACCGAGAUAAGAAGCCCCGGCUAACUUCGUGCCAGCAGCCGCGGUAAUACGAAGGGGGCUAGCGUNGUUCGGAAUUACUGGGCGUAAAGCGCGUGU